ACCCUUAAAGGUGUAGGUUUUUGAACAUUCUAAGUUCCGCAACAAUUGAAGGUUCUAAAAUUCUAUGUUGAAUUCAAUGAACUGAGAUAUUCUUUAGAACGUUAAUUUCCCAGCAUUCCGUACUCCUUUAAUGGUUGAAUGUGAUUGG